CCUACGGGAGGCAGCAGUGAGGAAUAUUGGUCAAUGGGUGAGAGCCUGAACCAGCCAAGUCGCGUGAAGGAUGACGGCCCUACGGGUUGUAAACUUCUUUUGUCAGGGAGCAAUUGGGUCCACGCGUGGGCUUAGCGAGAGUACCUGAAGAAAAAGCAUCGGCUAACUCCGUGCCAGCAGCCGCGGUAAUACGGAGGAUGCGAGCGUUAUCCGGAUUUAUUGGGUUUAAAGGGUGCGUAGGCGGAAUAUCAAGUCAGCGGUAAAAAUUCGGGGCUCAACCCCGUCGUGACGUUGAAACUGAUGUUCUGGAGUGGGCGAGAAGUAUGCGGAAUGCGUGGUGGAGCGGUGAAAUGCAUAGAUAUCACGCAGAACUCCGAUUGCGAAGGCAGCAUACCGGCGCCCAACUGACGCUGAAGCACGAAAGCGUGGGUAUCGAACAGGAUUAGAUACCCUAGUAGUC
rnacentral:rRNA from 1 species